rnacentral:rRNA from 1 species
GUCUACGGCCAUGCCACCUUGAACAAGCCCGAUCCCGUCUGAUCUCGGAAGCUAAGCAGGGUUGGGCCUGGUUAGUACUUGGAUGGGAGACCACCACCUAGGAAGACCAGGUGCUAUAGGCG